rnacentral:rRNA from 1 species
AUUGAACGCUGGCGGCAGGCCUAACACAUGCAAGUCGAGCGGAUGACGGGAGCUUGCUCCUUGAUUCAGCGGCGGACGGGUGAGUAAUGCCUAGGAAUCUGCCUGGUAGUGGGGGACAACGUUUCGAAAGGAACGCUAUUACCGCAUACGUCCUACGGGAGAAAGCAGGGGACCUUCGGGCCUUGCGCUAUCAGAUGAGCCUAGGUCGGAUUAGCUAGUUGGUGAGGUAAUGGCUCACCAAGGCGACGAUCCGUAACUGGUCUGAGAGGACGAUCAGUCACACUGGAACUGAGACACGGUCCAGACUCCUACGGGAGGCAGCAGUGGGGAAUAUUGGACAAUGGGCGAAAGCCUGAUCCAGCCAUGCCGCGUGUGUGAAGAAGGUCUUCGGAUUGUAAAGCACUUUAAGUUGGGAGGAAGGGCAGUAAGCUAAUACCUUGCUGUUUUGACGUUACCGACAGAAUAAGCACCGGCUAACUCUGUGCCAGCAGCCGCCGUAAGAC